rnacentral:lncRNA from 1 species
UUUGGUUGAAGGAAUCUUAAGUGUAACUGAUUGAGAAUCUUAUAGGAAGUUGGGUGGGGGGUUUAAAAUGAUUUUCAAAUUUUUAACUAAGGGUAGUUAAGCUGAAAUAAAAAAUGAAAAGGGGCCUAAUUGCAAAAUUGAAUCAUCAGGGCUGCCCUAUUUUCCUUGCCUAUAAAGGCACCGUUAACUUGAUAUGCAAGGCAAACUUAAGAGCUAGGAAAAAUAGCAAACCGGCUGAAAAUUUCUAGUGAGAUACUAUUCCAUUGAAUCUCUGCUUUGUAAUUUGAAAUCUUCACUUCUUAAAUCAAUUUUCUGAUUGUUUGAACUUGGAGAUGGAUUGAAUUUGGUAUUCUGAGGUUGGGUUUUUGAAAUUAGCCCCAGUGCUAUUCGAUCCAGGAACUGUUUUGGACUGUUUCCUAUUAUUAUUCUAGUUGAAUUGGCUAUGGUAUUGAAUCAUGCCAGAUUGUUGUUGUUUAUUGCUUCUUACCCUUUUCUUUUUGCAAAUUCCAGGUACAUGCUCUAAAACUUGUAUCAUGUGAAUUGCUUGAUUCGAAAGUUGAAAUGAAAAUGGAGUUGCGGAGCUUGACUUUAGCUUGUUAUUUAUUAUUUAGUUCAUUUCUUUCUGUUUUCUUCCUCUGAAUUCUAAACUUGAAGAAAAGGUCCUUAUAUAUGAUAGGGGUUUGGUAUUUUACUUGCUUUCACAACCAUGUAAUAUAAGGAUCGAAGUUAGAUUUUUAAUAUUAUGCUAGAUUUGGGUGUUGUAAGAGUCAUUUAAUAUAUUAUGUCCACUUUCAGCUUAUUGUCUUUUAUUCAUUAAAAGAAUGAGUCUGAAAGUUCGAGUGUGGUGUUGAAUCGUGUAUGCUGGUUUCUAUUAAAUUUGCUGAUAAUCUUGAGGUCUGCUGAACUUAAUUGGUAUUUUGGCUACUAUUUCAUUAGAGAUAGAAUUCCAAAAAAAAAUACAAAAAACUUUGCCUUUAGUAUUAAAAUUUUUUGUUCUGCUAAAGUUUGUUGGAGUUAGAUUGUAGCUUAACUUUUAAUCUUCACGAGUUCAUUGUUAGUCUUGUUCUAAUAUGUACCCUGUGG